rnacentral:tRNA from 1 species
UAUUUAAAUAGUUUAAAAAAAAAUAAUGAUUUGUGGGGUCAUAGAUGUGAUAAAAUAUCAUUUUAAAUU